GAUGAACGCUAGCUACAGGCUUAACACAUGCAAGUCGAGGGGUAACGAGAGGAAAGCUUGCUUUCCUUGUCGACGACCGGCGCACGGGUGAGUAACGCGUAUCCAACCUGCCCCCAACUAGGGAAUAGCCUUGCGAAAGUAAGACUAAUACCCUAUAAUUUCCUCAGAUGACAUCUGACGAGGAAUAAAGAUUUAUCGGUUGUGGAUGGGGAUGCGUCUGAUUAGCCUGUUGGCGGGGUAACGGCCCACCAAGGCAACGAUCAGUAGGGGUUCUGAGAGGAAGGUCCCCCACAUUGGAACUGAGACACGGUCCAAACUCCUACGGGAGGCAGCAGUGAGGAAUAUUGGUCAAUGGGCGGAAGCCUGAACCAGCCAAGUAGCGUGCAGGAUGACGGCCCUAUGGGUUGUAAACUGCUUUUAUACAGGAAUAAAGUUAGCCACGUGUGGUUAUUUGUAGGUACUGUAUGAAUAAGGACCGGCUAAUUCCGUGCCAGCCGCCGCCGUAA
rnacentral:rRNA from 1 species